UUUUGUGAUGGUAUCUUGCCAAACAUCCCCUUUGUCUUAAGCCAAUUUACAUUAUUUUCUGUCUUUUAGGUGGAGCUUGAGUGACUCUAGUCAGGCAUAUCUUGGCUUUGACUGGUGAAAAGUUUUCUUGCUUUCAUUUAAAGGUGUAGACUCCGAGAAGUUCAGAGUGCAUGCUCAGCGAGGGGUGGUCGCACCUUGGAGGCACGGAGCUUUUGGGAUGGAGGCAAUUACUCUGCAACUACCCAAAGCAGCGAUAGUGAGAAGCCCACUUCCAGCAUCCGCUCCCCACGCAGGGACGGACGGGUGGACAGACGGACGCCGCUCUUUGCCUUGCCCGCCAGGGGAAGGGGAGAACGACCGGGCAGGGAGCCCCACCGCAGCCCCCCUCCUGAGAGUCCUGCACAGCAGUUUAAUAAAGUUUGCUUUCUAG